UGGGCUACACUCCCAGCCCUAGGUACUGCUUUAAGAAGUAGGAAGUCCCUCUAGUUGGGCUCUUGGAAUUUCAGUCAAUUAAUCCAUGACCAGCUGGUAUAAUGGUCUAAUUAAUCCCAUUUUCUACUAGUGGCUCUAAGAAUCCAGAGAAGUUCACCAAUGCCAGGCCAGCGCACAUGACAGUCGAGAUCAGGGGCUCAAGCAGAGCCGCCUCCAGUGAGGAGAGUAUGUGCACAAACCCAAGGGUUUCUGCCUGGAAGUGAACCCAUGUGCACGCAGUGCUGCAGGGGAGCUGGCUGGAGAAACACUGAGCCUGGGGAGAGUCUGAGGUCACAGAAAUAUUGACCAAAUCAAGGUCAGCACUUGGAAGACCUGACGUGAUCCCUAAGAUUGGAGGCCAGCCAGCGAGAGGAGCAGCAGCUCCCAGCACUCUUACCUACAAAGUAUCCAAUGAGGGUGCAGUGGAAGUAGGAGACCUUCUGCAUGCGCCCAGAGAUGUUGGCGGGUCCAGAGGCACCACAGGAGUCACCGCUGGCUUGUUUUUUAUAGUUGUCAUAGCGAAGGACAAAGCACAACAGCAGACCGGGCAUCACAAUGUCUCCAAUGCCCAACAUAGAGAAGUGACUGCCCGUGGAGCUGAAAUGUGGAGUCACAUGUUAGGAAUGCCACUCUCAAUCCAAUUUCUACUACUGUAUAAAGUCUUUUUUUUUGUGGUUGUAGGUGGACAGAAUGCCUUUAUUUUGUUUAUUUCUAUGCAGUGCUGAGGAUUGAACCCAGUGCCUCACGCAUGCUUGACAAGUGCUCUGCCACUGAGCUCCAGCCCCAGUCUGUCAGCUUUUAAGUAGUCAAAGAACUCAUCCAGAGGGCAGAGAGCAAUCUCUACUGGUGGACACUAGUUUUACGGUUUAGAGAUUAAAAGCCCCUUAGGAACUGGCAGCAGAGGUCUCCAAUCCAGGCCCUCAGUGUUUCAGGACAGCAGCUUGUCAGUGACUGCUGAAGUGAUGUGCCCAAGCACUACCUCCUCUGGAAUGUCGGGCAAAGCAUGAUUUGAGAUAGAUGCUUAUUUGCAGUGUCAAUAGUGACUGACUACUCCCAGACACAGGAGAUAAAAGCAGCACAUUAAUUUUGUCAUGAUUAUAUUUCCAGGAAAUGUUCAAUUUUACUAUUGGAACAUUUAUAUGAGUGUCUUAAAAGUAAAAAUGAUCCUGAUUCUAUUAAUUUUAGCCAACUUUAGAAAAUGGGAACAAGCUGGGCACAGUGGCACAUGCCUGUAAUUGCAGUGACUUGGGAGGCUGAGGCAGGAGGAUCGCCAAGUUCAAAGCUAGCUUCAGAAACUGUCUCAAAAAGGACUGGGGAUGUGGCUCAGUUGUUAAGGGUCCCUGGGUUCAAUUCCCAGGACUAAAAAAUAAAUAAAACACAACACCCAUAUCACUCGGUGAUGCAUCUUGGAAAGUCAAGUCGGUAUUCUCAACCUCACUUUUUCACUUAGAGACGAUAGCCUCCUAGCCCUUUCCAGUUUAGGGUCAGAAUGCUGAAGACAAGACAUACAACCGAGGCAGGAAACGGGAUGAGGCCCAACAGGCCAGUCCUACCUUGGGAAGACCAAUUUUCCAGGCAGAGACAGGCGAGGAACAUCACGCCCAACAUUUGGCCCCAGGUGGAGCUUCCGGGAUAGAACGUCAAGGGGGUUGUCGGCCGGCUGUGUGGCCACCUUCACCAUGACGUUGCUAUUGAAGAUGUAGGCUGAGAAAAAUAC